rfam:Triticum aestivum genome assembly, contig: Triticum_aestivum_CS42_TGACv1_scaffold_499707_6BL
GGUGGCAAAUGAUGUUAAAUAUUAUAUGCUAAACACUGAAUCUUUCAUAUGUUUACUAAACUCCGCUUAUUAUCUGAUGUCACC